rnacentral:rRNA from 1 species
UACGUAGGGUGCGAGCGUUAAUCGGAAUUACUGGGCGUAAAGCGUGCGCAGGCGGUUCGUUGUGUCUGAUGUGAAAGCCCCGGGCUUAACCUGGGAAUGGCAUUGGAAACUGGCGAGCUGGAGUGUGGCAGAGGGGGGUGGAAUUCCGCGUGUAGCAGUGAAAUGCGUAGAGAUGCGGAGGAACACCGAUGGCGAAGGCAGCCCCCUAGGCCAACACUGACGCUCAGGCACGAAAGCGUGGGGAGCAAACAGG